rnacentral:rRNA from 1 species
UACGUAGGGUGCGAGCGUUAAUCGGAAUUACUGGGCGUAAAGCGUGCGCAGGCGGUUUUGUAAGCCGGUUGUGAAAUCCCCGGGCUCAACCUGGGAACUGCUUCCGAGACUGAGCGACUAGAGAUCGGUAGAGGGCGGUGGAAUUUCCGGUGUAGCGGUGAAAUGCGUAGAUAUCUGGAGGAAUACCGGUGGCGAAGGCGGCAUCCUGGACCGGCAUUGACGCUGAGGAGCGAAAGCCAGGGGAGCAAACGGG